GGGGCGUUAGCUCAGUUGGUAGAGCAGCGGACUCUUAAUCCGUAGGUCGAGUGUUCGAGCCACUCACGCCCCACCA
rnacentral:tRNA from 13 species